AUGAGCGAUCUGGAGCAGAUCACCAAACCGGAAGUACCUCAUACUGCAGCAGGCGCUCGAAGGGAAGGCCCCAGGAGCUGGCUACCUUCAUCUGUUGGGGUGGCGAAAAUCAAUGUUGAUGGAGCUUUGGCGCGCCAUAGACGUGGUGGGGCAGUUUCGGUUGUGUGUCGAGACCACACAUGUUUAUAUUUGGGCUCCUCAAUGGUGGUUUAUCGAGGCAUCACUAACCCCACAACCUUGGAAACAUUUGCAUGCAGGGAGGCUUUAGCACUUGCAGAUGAUCUACAGGGAACAAAUUUGAUAGUUGCUUCGGACUGCCAAGAUGAAAUAAUGGGUCGUAAAAACACAUUUACUUCGGUCUCUUUUGUUCAUGAGUGUAGAAACCACAAUUUCGAGGCUCACAAUCUCGCCAAGUUUGCUUGUAAUUUAGAGUUAGGUCGACAUGUUUCGUUUUUUUUGAAAAAGAAAGGAGGCUCCGGGCCGCCUUUAUAUUUCAAAACAGGCCGUAGCCUGAGGAACAACGUACAGAUACAUGAAGCUUGUGGGGUGCACUUUAGUGCAAAACCACAAGAAGAGCCGCCAUAG
rnacentral:rRNA from 1 species